ACUCUAGCAAUCCCACCUGCCAUUGCAACCAAUGGUAUUUUGACCAUACACGAUUUUGGCUUUAUGCGCUGUUCCCAAAUGUAACCCCCAUGUAUGUUGCAGAAGUAAGUUCCAUUAAAAACAAUGUAGCAUUUCUUAGUAAGGUUGCAUUGUAAGUCAAUCAUACAGAACAGAACCGAGUACAGUGGUAAUCUGUUUUCGAACAUAAUCUGUUCCGGAAGACCAUUCGACUUUUGAAACGUUCGAAAACCGAAGCAGGCAUUUCCAGAAGCAUUUACUUAUGGAAAACUCAAUACAGAAGCCACACGGCACGUUCAACUUCCAAAAAGCAUUCGAAAACCGAAGCAUUUGCGUGGACAGGCAGAGUCCCCCCAACCCCAGGCAACCCCCGUGUGGAAUAACGACUCAAGACAAUGUGCUAUGGGAUUAAAAUUGGCCACAACUUUAUUAAGUUUCAGAUGUAGGAAGACCUUGGCUCAGGCACUGGGUGUUUAUCCUUCCCAGUCCCCAGCCAGGGAUCUGGGGGACACCAGGGUUAUCCAGAGUGUGUGGGGACUGGGCUGGCUCUGGAGAACAUAUGUUUAAGCAGAGAGCCCGCCCCCCAUUUUGCUGCCAUCUCAGGGGAGAGCAAUGACAACCUCUCGGCGUAUGGCCAAUGCGUCCCCUCAAGAUCCCUUUAACAGGGAACCUUGGGAUUGCCGCUGCAAGGGGGACGUGAGUCACUGCUUCACGCCCCCCCCCCCCAUUUAGGGAAGAUAGACUAAAGGAUUCUGCCCAAGGCCUGAAACCGCCAAAGUUGUGACGUUUGGCUACGGGGAAGGCAAAACCUGCCAAUGCAGGAAAAUUCCUUUCUGGCCCUUCAACAGCGACCAUGAUGUAGCAGCGCCCGCAUACCUGUGAAGAAUAGGUUAACCUGCAAAAGAAAGCUUAACUGAGGGAGGGGAGGGAGAAGCUCUGGAGCCGACUGCCACUUCGCAGGUAAGAUUCACCUUCUGUUGUAUGGGCAGGGUGGUCCCUCCCCCUACCUGUCCAAUCCCCUGGUAAUGCCUCCCCAGGCAGGAUUGGGCGAUUAGCUGAAGUAAGCGGAGACCUCCAGGUAUCCAGCCUGAAGAGGGCGAAGCCAGCCCAUACUACCAGGAGCCGCAUUGGGAUCCGGGGGGCUGCACACUACCACACAAAAGGCGCCCCCCAUUUGAUGUGGGGAGUGUUCAUUACUUCUGGGUUUUCGGCAUUCGAAAACAGAAACGUUCGAUUUCCAAGAUGUUCGAAAACCGAGGUACCACUGUAUUAUUAGACCACUGGGUGAAUACAAGUCUCAUGUCUAAGUCAUGGCCUUUGGAUCUACUUCUCUUCUUUAUUCCUCUUUACCCACAGCACUCUUUUAGAUUUCUUGGCUCUUUAGCCCAAACCUCAUCACAUUUGGAGCUCACUGGCUUGCCCGCUGCUGCCAACAUAUUUUUAGAUUUCACAGAAUGUCUUUGAGCUUACAGCCCUGAUGGCUUUUCUUUUUAAACACACCUAAAUAUAACCUGCACAUGUCUUUAAUGGUGCAUUAUAAUGUGUUCCCAUCAGCUUACAAACCUAAGUGGCGUGAGAAAAUGAAUUUAUAGUCAACCAAUAGAUCUGUUUAAUUAUUAACAAGAGAGGGAAACCAAGAGCAAAGCAAACAAACAAAUCGAUCGACCAUCAUGCAUCUUAAAGUAGAGCCUAAGAGUUAUUCUGGGCAGUUGUGCUUGAUUCUGAGAACUUGGGUCGGGAUCUUUUAGCUUGGCAGCUAUCUCAAAUCCCCAACAUAUGCAAAAAAGGCAACAAGACUUGGAUAGGAAUCAGCGGGAGACAGUGACCACAUGUUCAGUUGGCUCGCUUUCAAAGGGAAAGUCAACUAUCCAUUGCUUACAGC